rnacentral:lncRNA from 1 species
AUGCAAGCUCUCCAAAGCUCUGUCUAUCUACCAGCAACCCUAAAAAGCCUGUCUCUGCAGUGUCUAGACACUGAGAUAACCCUCCUGAUGGAAGCAGAUGGCAAAGACCCCUCCACAUCAUGGAUUUGCAUAAAAGAUAUAACAACACAAGAUACCAGAGGAUAUGUGAAGUGUGUCCUUCAAGGCAACAUCCAGUGCAGCUUGGCACUAUGAACAGAAAUAGGUCACUGGUACCUGCGACUUUGUCAAAGGAAGAUUUUUAAUCAUCUUUCCAAUGGACAUAGAAGAACAGAAAAGAACAGAGUACAGCUCCAGUGAACCUCAUCAUUUCUGAGCACCCAGGGGUAGGAAUACCUGCAGGGAAUAUUAGUAGAUAGCACCACAGGCUAUUGUAGAUCAUGACAAAUGGGAACAAUUCUCAGAAUAUUUACUGUCUUUUAUUACUACCGCUGCAUGUUUGCAGAGGGUCUGUUUACAAAAGUGGUUUUCAAACCUGCAAGCGAGUGUACAUUAACAUACAGUGAUAAUGUGUGAUCACAUACUUGCUCUCAUGUAAGUCCAGGUCCAAGCCUAGAAUUAUAGAAAGUGGAUUUCAAAACAAAUGUGGAAGAUUUUUUAAUUCAAUUUCUUUUUGUUCUGUUUUAUUCCCAAUUUUUAAUUACAGACCAUGAAGAAGGACCUAUUUUUCUUGCCCAUUUCCAGGAUAAAAACAAGCCAGCACAAUUUAUCACUGAAAUGUGGUUAGCAAAGGAGACUGUAAAAGCAAAAGAGGACAAAUUAAACACAGUCACUUGCCCCAGGUGGAUUCUUUGUCUUCUGUUAGAAUGCAGUGGAGCUGGGUAACACAUCUUUGUGGCAACAAUAAUUUUAGCAGUGAUUAGAACUAAAAUGUCAGUAGUAACUGCACAAUAUUAGUCUACAAAAUUAGGCUAAAGUGAUCUGAGUAUACAAGCUUUAUACAAGCUCCUAAAGUUGCAUAGGUAUAUUUCCAUAUUUCCAAAAGAUUCCUUUUAACAUUUCACCUGAUUAUUACAUUUUUAGAAGAAACCUUCUCCCUGUGCAAAAGUUCUAAUAGUUGAGUGAGAUCUUCAGUGGUAAAUCUGCAGUGUAAAAUGUGUAUGGAUGCCAGCUGCCCUCAGGUGAUCUCCUUCUAGUAAUUAAUAGGAUGCUGUGUGUAGGGACAUUGGCUACUACUCCUAGUAAUCUAAGUAGUCUGUUGUGAGUAAAGGAAAACCCACUCAAAUUCUCUGUUUCUCAGUUUACUUGUAGAAGCCAAAGAACAAUGUUUCCUUUUGUUGGGCUGCAUAAGCACCUGGAAAAUUCAUAGUAAAACCUCCAGCUUGAAAAGAAUCUUUGUUGGGCUUUGCUGUACUGUCAUAAGAAAUAUUGGGGCUUCACACUUUUGACUUAAAGAUUAUUAUGACCUAGUAGGCAUGAGGAUAGUGCAAACUAAUCUCUAGCUAGAAGAGUUACAAUAUGACUUUGUACAUCACAGGAUAGCUUAAGAAGGAACUUCUAAGGACUGAUAUUUUUUCCUAAGGGAACAAACUAACUGAGGCUGAAAAUACACUGAAUGCAGUUGGCAGUAUUCUAAAAAGGUGUUGCUUAUUUCACCUCUCUUUUUAAUUAAAAGGAAUUUCAGACAUUUCUGAAAAGCAAGUGGGUGAGUUGUCAAAAGCAACAAAGACAGAAAAUAAUUUCAGAAAGAAGGAAAGACUAUGUAAAUUAUAAUACCCAUUCUUUUCUAUGUUAAACCACUGCUGUGAACAUUUCAGGUGACUUUUCUAUGGCAUUUUGAAAUGAAAUAUGAUUCUCUUGUUCAUUCUCUGGCAGUAUGCCCUGAAAUAUUCCAUUAAGUGUUUUCAAUUACUUGCCAGUCCCAAUAGGAUCUCACUAAGAGGUUUUAAAAUGGAAUCUUAUCUAGUACUUUAUCUAAUGCAGUCUGAAUGCUAUCCGUGUUUCAAUAAAUAAAGGUAAAUUAAGUUUUAUGUAUAUACA